UGCCCAGCAACUCCUAUCCCUACCUCCUCGUGGUACUGGCCGGGGUACGAGUAACCUUGGGGAAGAUCGGGUAACCAACCCCCGGUGGGAACUUUAGUCGUAUGCUGACAGGGAAGG
rnacentral:ribozyme from 1 species